AGAAUUACAGAACAUGUACAAGACGAUUUAGAACAAAACUUGUGAAGGCAAGAUUGUCUAGAAAUCAUCACAAAAUCUCAUUUCGGAACAAGAACGGAAUCAAAAAUCCAACUGAACUACACCAGAAUUGUUCAUCUUCGGAGAUAUUUUUUGAGGGUCAAAUGACACUUAGAUUGGGGUGUACAACUAUUGUUUCAAAGCUUGAGAUAUGUAGGGGGUGCAUGACAACUGCCUAUUUCUGUUCCAGAAACAAUUUUUCUAUUCCAGACCUGUUUCUGGAAUAGAAAUUCGUUUGAUAAACUUAUUCCGUUUUUCUAUUUCUGGAAUAGAUUUCUAUUUCAAAAAUAGGUUUUGAAUAGAAAUCAGAAGUAGAAAUUUUCUACUUCUCUAUUUAUGGAACAUAAAUGAGAAAUAAAAAUUUCUCAUUGUCCGUCAACCGGUCCUUCAUCCGUUGCCUCUGACCACCGUCCGUCGGUCACCAGUCGCCCGCCGGCCCUCUCUGCCGCGGGCACCGGCCGCCGAUUGCCGCCGCCACCGGUCACCGGCCACCGUUGCCGUCCGUCAUUGCUAUCCGCUGGUCCACUGCCGUCUGAAAGAAAGAAAUUUUGUGUUAUUAUCAAACGAAUUUAAAUUUUUAGAGUAGAAAUUUUGUGUUGUUAUCAAACGGUUAUUUUUGUUUAGAAACUCUUCUAGAAAUAGAAAAAUAUAUUUCUGUUCCAGAAACUAUUUUUGGAACAGAAUGGUUGUCAUGCUCGCCCGUACUAUCCAAGCCUAAGAGGACUCGAGUUAAAACAAAGUCGUUUUGGACCUCGUUUUGGCCAAAACAGUAGAUCAGUCUUACGACUAUAGAAUUGCAGAUUCAAGCUAAAUCAACUACAAUCAUUCAAGAAUAUUCAUCCACAUUCAAGCUUCAACAACUCAUCAACGAUCACAUGAGCAUAGUAUAUAUCCCUAAGAUUAAACCCUCGCCCCGGCCGGCUAAUCCAGCCUCGCUUCACAAAGUUCGAGACCUUGAAGUUACCUUUUAACUUGAACUCAAACGUGACCGAUUGCGAUUGAACAGUUGCCAAUCAAUGAUCGUCGAAGCUUCAUCGAACCUCAUGGAUCAUGAAGGAUUAGUGUCGAUCUACAAGAAGUAUGCAAAAGCAAUCAAACUAGAAUCCGUGUUAACCAAAACCUAAGGAAAAAAGUGAUCCACUUAGCUUUUUUUCUGAGCUUAAUCUUCUGUUUUGCUGAAGACUCAUGAAGAUGAGACCGAAGUUUGCUAAAUCUCAAAUCGACUGGAUUUCAUUCAUCAUUAAUCUUUGAUCUUUGAUUUACGAGACUCAUCAAUGGAUGCUUUGGCUUUAAACUUGAUGAUUGCAACUGCUUCUCAAGAGUUGCAAUCUCAGAGCGUUUCUUCAGAUUCUCUUAGCCGAAUCUUGCUGCUGCACUUUUUCUGGAAAUCAAGACGCCAACAACUCUAAGCUUCUGAUGGCCGAACAACGAGAGGAAAAUCUUUGCAAGAGCUUGCUUGAUCAGAUAGGCCUCACGAACUUGCCAAAUGCUCGGAAUGGCGAUCCGAUCGCCGAUCUACGAGCUGGAUUGAACGCCGGUCAGAUCGCUGAUCCAGCUUCGGAGAUGUCCACCAUUCAACGACUAUGGGGCUGUUAAUCAGCAAAAAUACACUGAACUCAGUGGAGAACCUGAAUCUAAUAACAUUCUAUAACUAAAACAGAGAGAAGAAGUGGAAAACUUAUCUCCGAUUUUGUUAUUGGAACUUCUAGAAAUGGAGAAUGCCGAGCUUCAAUCAAUAAAGAUGAUCUCGAGAAACAAGACUUCAAAUCA
rnacentral:lncRNA from 1 species